CGGCGCCCGGCGCGACCAUUCGCUGCGGCGCAUCCCGGCAGCCACCGCGGCGACUGGGCGGCGGGUGCCAUGCGCCUGAAGCUCCACAUUCUCAGCUCCCGCCCACCGCGCCCGCCUUCCUCUGCGGUCACGCCUCCGGCGGUGUGCACCUGCCGAGCAGAUGGCAGCACAGAUGGAAAAAUCCCAGAAAACCUCGGAGCCAGCUGGCUUCAGCAGCAGCAAACAGCUAUCAACAGCCUGCCCCCAACUCACUCUUCCUUUUUUCAAAAUGAACACAACCUAAAAGGAUCUAACUGCUCUUCAUCUUCACAAGUAACUUUAUAUGCAUGAUGUCAGUUAACCUCACAACAACCGUCAUGUCACAGAUGAGGAAACUGAUGUCAGUGAGAUUAAUCAACUUCCCCAGGAUCACACAGCCAA
rnacentral:lncRNA from 1 species